rnacentral:rRNA from 1 species
UACGAAGGGGGCUAGCGUUGCUCGGAAUUACUGGGCGUAAAGCGCACGUAGGCGGCUUUCUAAGUCGGGGGUGAAAUCCUGGAGCUCAACUCCAGAACUGCCUUCGAUACUGGAGAGCUUGAGUCCGGGAGAGGUGAGUGGAACUGCGAGUGUAGAGGUGAAAUUCGUAGAUAUUCGCAAGAACACCAGUGGCGAAGGCGGCUCACUGGCCCGGUACUGACGCUGAGGAGCGAAAGCCAGGGGAGCAAACGGG